CAGCAGCCGCGGUAAUACGGAGGGUGCAAGCGUUAAUCGGAAUUACUGGGCGUAAAGCGCACGCAGGCGGUCUGUCAAGUCGGAUGUGAAAUCCCCGGGCUCAACCUGGGAACUGCAUUCGAAACUGGCAGGCUAGAGUCUCGUAGAGGGGGGUAGAAUUCCAGGUGUAGCGGUGAAAUGCGUAGAGAUCUGGAGGAAUACCGGUGGCGAAGGCGGCCCCCUGGACAAAGACUGACGCUCAGGUGCGAAAGCGUGGGGAGCAAACAGGAUUAGAUACCCCUGUAGUCCCUGUCUCUUAUAA
rnacentral:rRNA from 1 species